UGGGGAAUUUUGCACAAUGGGGGGAAACCCUGAUGCAGCGACGCCGCGUGAUUUAGAAGGCCUUCGGGUUGUAAAAAUCUUUUCUAUGGGAAGAAAAUGACAGUACCAUAGGAAUAAGGACCGGCUAAUUACGUGCCAGCAGCCGCGGUAAUACGUAAGGUCCGAGCGUUGUCCGGAAUCAUUGGGCGUAAAGGGUACGUAGGCGGGUAAGCAAGUUAGAAGUGAAAUCCUAUAGCUCAACUAUAGUAAGCUUUUAAAACUGCUCAUCUUGAGGUAUGGAAGGGAAAGUGGAAUUCCUAGUGUAGCGGUGAAAUGCGCAGAUAUUAGGAGGAAUACCGGUGGCGAAGGCGACUUUCUGGCCAUAACCUGACGCUGAGGUACGAAAGCGUGGGUAGCAAACAGG
rnacentral:rRNA from 1 species